UACGUAGGGACCAAGCGUUGUUCGGAUUUACUGGGCGUAAAGGGCGCGUAGGCGGCGCGGUAAGUCACUUGUGAAAUCUCUGAGCUUAACUCAGAACGGCCAAGUGAUACUGCGGGGCUAGAGUGCAGAAGGGGCAACUGGAAUUCUCGGUGUAGCGGUGAAAUGCGUAGAUAUCUGGAGGAACACCGGUGGCGAAGGCGGCAUCCUGGACCAAUUCUGACGCUGAGUGAGCGAAAGCCAGGGGAGCAAACGGG
rnacentral:rRNA from 1 species